GACGAACGCUGGCGGCGUGCCUAAUACAUGCAAGUCGAGCGGACAGAAGGGAGCUUGCUCCCGGAAGUUAGCGGCGGACGGGUGAGUAACACGUGGGCAACCUACCCUGUAGAUCGGGAUAACAUCGAGAAAUCGGUGCUAAUACCGGAUAAUCAUUUGAAGUGCAUGCUUCGAAUGUAAAAGAUGGCUCCGGCUAUCACUACGGGAUGGGCCCGCGGGGCAAUAGCUAGUUGGUAAGGUAAUGGCUUACCAAGGCAACGAUGCGUAGCCGACCUGAGAGGGUGAUCGGCCACACUGGGACUGAGACACGGCCCAGACUCCUACGGGAGGCAGCAGUAGGGAAUCUUCCGCAAUGGACGAAAGUCUGACGGAGCAACGCCGCGUGAGUGAUGAAGGUUUUCGGAUCGUAAAGCUCUGUUGUUAGGGAAGAACAAGUGCCGUUUGAAUAAGGCGGCACCUUGACGGUACCUAACCAGAAAGCCACGGCUAACUACGUGCCAGCCGCCGCAGUAACAC
rnacentral:rRNA from 1 species